rnacentral:rRNA from 1 species
UAAAGUCUGGCCUGCCCACUGAUUUAAUUUAAAGGGCCGCGGUAUACUGACCGUGCGAAGGUAGCAUAAUCAUUAGUCUUUUAAUUGAAGGCUUGUAUGAAUGGUUGGACAAAAAGUAAGCUGUCUCAAUUAUAAUAAUUGAAUUUAACUUUUAAGUGAGAAGGCUUAAAUAGAUUAAGGGGACGAUAAGACCCUAUAAAGCUUGACAAUAAAUCGUUUAUAUUAUAAACUGUUAGUGUAACUUGAUUUUAAACGGUGUUUGUUGCGUUGGGGCGACGGGAAUAUAAAAGGUAACUGUUCUUAUAAUAUUUAAUAACAGAAAUAUCUGAAAAAUUAAUGAUCCUUUUUUAAAGAUCAUAAGAUUAAGUUACUUUAGGGAUAACAGCGUAAUCUUCUUUAAGAGUCCAUAUCGACAGGAAGGGUUGCGACCUCGAUGUUGAAUUAAGGUAUCCUUAUAAUGCAGCAGUUAUAAAGGAAGGUCUGUUCGACCUUUAAAUCCUU